rnacentral:lncRNA from 1 species
CUCUGGAUCUGACUGUGUUGACACAGGCGGAUGUGGAAAAUGAGGGCUUCGUGAGUCAGGGCAACAUUUCUAAGACCUUCCUGGUUUCUUAUGUUCCUGUGACAGACAUUCAUUCCUCUAAGCACCGAGCCAGAGUAGCAUAAAGCUUCUUUAUAGUUCUUGCCCUCAUGUGCCAUGGAAAUAUUAUGGGUCCCUAUCAAAACGGUGUCGAGAAGUCUCCCCAUGAAAUGAAGUCUGGCAGGAGAUGUCUCUAUUCUGAGUGAUCAGCAUCACUAGGCAUGUGUUUUAAUCCCAGUGUGACCAACGACUUCCUGAGUCUAUAGAGAAAGUUAUAAACCCUUCUCUGUGUCUUGCUUUCCCCUCAGCCAUCUGUCACCCCAGGUAUCCCAGGCUCUCUCCCAGGAUCCAUUAUCCAAACGGAUGAUGCUUGGCUCAGCAGGGAACCUCUAGAACCCUCCAGAACCCUGCUCUGCUCCCACAGAUAGCCUUGAUUCUGACUGGUCUAUUCUGAGCUAAAUGUAUUUAAUAUCACUCUGAACUCUGAGAUUUCUAGUUACUCACGGGUCCUCUGAAAUUACAUUAUGCUUUUUCCCACCUCUCCCCUUUGCCACCUCUCUUCUUUGUCUCAUACCGAAGUACUAUCCCUAACCCUCACCAAAAAUCCCAUAAUUAUCACAAAGAUUCCUGUGUAUGGAGUUUUAAGUGUUUUUAGGAGUUCCUACUGUGGCACAGGAGGUUAAGGAUCCAGCAUUGCCAGAGCUGUGGCAUAGUUUGCAGGUUCAGUUUAGACCCAAUCCUUGGGAACUUCCCCUUGCCAUAAAUGCCAAAAAAAAAAAAAAAAAAAUCUUUUUUUACAAAAGUGUAAAUCUGGGGAAUUCCUGUUGUGGCUUAAUGGAAACAAAUCUGACUAGUAACCUUGAGGACAAAGGUUCAAUCCCUGGCCUUGCUUAGUGGGUUAAGGAUCCGGUGUUGCCUUGAGCUGUGGUGUAGGUCACAGACGUGGCUCAGAUCCUGUGUUGCUGUAGUUGUAGCAUAGGCUGGCACUGUAGCUCUGAUUAGACCCCUAGCCUGGAAACUUACAUAUGCCAUGGAUGUGGGCCCCCCCAAAAGGUAUCGAAGUGAAAGACCUUUGCUCUGCUCCCCAUGUCAGCAGCUGCAGCAGAGCACUCUGCUUUCACCUCUGCAGGGCACUGUGCCACCUUGUGGCCUGUGCCCUAACCUUGGGAAGCUCCUCAGCAGCCUCUUGCCUUUUGACACACUGAACCACUGCCCACUUGCUGAGCGGCCCCCAGGCUUUGGGAGUGGCAUUGUGGUGUCUGGUGUUCUGGAUACACCAUAGCCCUAGCCUCUACUGUGCAGAAGUUGACCCAUCAGGGACUUUAAAAGCAUCCCAUUCUUAAGCCCUUAUCCUGAAAAUAACACUUGAACAUGAGAAGCCCACCUCCAGGGGUUUACUCAUCUAUGUGAUGACAGCAGUUAAGCAAUUAUCACUUUAGUGAGGAACAAAAGGCUUGACCUGCCUUAAGCCUGCUGACUUGAACUCAACACCCCAGUCUAGGUUCCAACACAAAUGCUAAUCUCACCAGGCCAUGGUCCUAAGACUAAUCUUGCCAGAUGCAGCCAAGGCAGAUUGUAUUGCUACCUAUCAGACCCAGGCAUAUACUGGGAGAGAGACUAGACUGGACUUCUGGACUCUGUUCUUGCUGUCAGAUGGGGAGAUUUAAAUGGCCUUUCUCUUGGGAUGGAUGGACUUACUCUAGAGGGUUUAGAGAUGUGGUUCUCAGACUUGACUGCAAAUUUAGAUCUCCCCAAUGCUUAAAAAAAUACCAGUGUUGGUUAACGAAUCUGAUUAGCAUCCAUGAGGACAUAGGUUCCAUCCCUGGCCUUGCUCAGUGGGUUAAGGAUCUGGUGUUGCUGUGGCUGAGGCGUAGGCCGGCAGCUACAGUUAUGAUUUGACAUCUAGCCUGGGAGUCUCCAUAUCCCGCGGGUGUGGCCCUAAAAAGCAAAAAACAAACAAACAAACAAAAAACAGUGUUGGGCCUCAACCUCUAAGAGUCUUUGUGUAGUGUAAUAGUGAAAAAUUCCUGUCUUUUUAUCAGCAAGUGCUCCUUAAAAAAAAAAAAAAUCUCUGAAUCAUUUUGGUUCCCCAGAUUUAGUGACGUAUAAUCGACAGGUAGAAAUGGAUAUAUUUAAGAUGUACAACUUAAUGUUUGGAUAUAUGUACACAUUUAUGAAAUAAUCACCACAAUCAAGCUAAUUAACCCAGCCAUCAUCCCAACCUCUAAUAACCUCUUCUUAUUCAAGGGUCUGGGCAUCAGUGUUUUGUACAAAUGUGUGAGGUGUGAUUGUAAAGAGCAACCAAUGUUAAGAAUCACUUGGAUGACUUUAUAUAUACUGAUUAUACUGUGUACAUAAGCUUAUGUGUAUUAUAUAUACACAUAUUCACAAACUCACUCAGUGUAUUAAAAAUAUAUACAUGCCAUUGAAAAAACUUGCAAUGGGGUGGUCUUUAUUUUCCUCUUUUAGUUUUGGGGAGGGCCUUGUAUUUUUUAAAUUUUGUACAAUGAUCAUGCAGUCUUUUUUUUUUUUAAUUUUUAAAAAUUUUGUUGGAAGAGUUCCCAUCAUGGCGCAGCAGAAACAAAUCCGACUAGGAACCAUGAGGUUGUGGGUUCAAUCCCUGGCCUUGCUCAGUGGGUUAAGGAUCCAGUGUUGCCAUGAGGUGUGGUGUAGGUCACAGAUGCAGCUUGGAUCCUGCGUUGCUGUGGCUGUGGUGUAGGCUGGUUGCCACAGCUCCGAUUUGACCCCUAGCCUGGGAACCUCCAUAUACCGUAGGUACGACCCUAAAAAGCAAAAAAAAAAAAAAAAA